CAGAAAAUUUAAAAUAAAUGAUACCAAAUUCGCCUUCAUUCGUUGAUCACGGCAACCGCGGCGGCGGCGGCGGCCGCCGCCGCCUAGUUUGCGUUGGUGAAAGUGAAGGGGACGAUGUUUCCGUAGACACUGUUUCUUGGGUUCCUUCUUGGGAUUCUGACGAUUGAUGCGGUCGAAGCUCUUGAAGUCCCUCUUUGUGAUAGACCGAUUGAAUCGAAGAAUCAAAGAAGAACGCGAAAAGGCGGCAUCUAAAUCUCAUCCAGAACUCCCUGGUGACCUUGAUCCCGAAUUCUCUUUCAAUCUAUUCUUCUUAUCGCAACAAGUCAUGUUCAAGCAGAAAAGUUGCAGGAAUCAAUUAAUGGGCCUAACUAACCGUCCAUUCUUGGGAAAAAUUUAAUGGUUUGAAUGUUGUUGACAGAUAAGGCCCAUUUGCUUCACAUUAUCCAUUUCCUUCACAUUGCUCCUUUACCAUUGAGAACCCUAGCCACAACACAAGCAAUAGCGCUACCCCAAGCAAUGACGGAAUGCUUCUGUCGGACGUUCAUCCGCCGGCAACUAGAACAAGACCAUACACAGUAAGUCUGCAACACGAUCAGACUCUCCCAUCUUAAUCUGAUCUUAUGUUCUCUCACCUGAUAUCAACGGUGGCAAGUUUUCUUCGAUAUCAGAAAGAGAUUAAAGAGAUAUGGUGUGUAGAUCGAAAAUUUGGUGAUUUCAUCCACCGAUCAAAUGGUCAGGUGAACUCAAGGGAAAUUCAGUGCACAAUGCUCCCGCUAUUGCGGGGUUUAGAAUGGUCAGAUGUAUGCCACCUUACUUUCGCAUGCGAAGAGGCUGUUUCCCGUUUCGAACCCAUGAUCUCUGGGUCAAAAUAAUGCAACCUUACGGUUGCACAAAGGUCCACUCUCAGAGUGGUAGAGAUCAUCAUCCCGGGACAAUGUCGACUUGUUCAGAGAAGAUGACAAUGCCCACAAAUGUGCAGAGCUUUCUACAUUCUGCAACACCAACUGUACCUUUAAAAUGCAUUCCUUAGAGAUGUAUCCCAGUUGUAAGGAUACAAUUGAAUAUUUCACACUGGGAGGCCUCUAUUUGAAGAAGGAACUGAUUUCAUUAGAGCUGAAAAUGCUAGAUUUAAAAGAGGAAGCAGGAUAAGACAGCCAAGCUUAUUUCUGUCACACUUCCCAAACACAAGUGAAUGUUUUGGGAUGAUACGGACUUCCCAAGAGGGGUCAGUUCCCAGAAGUAUGAAGAAGAAGUGGAAGUAGAAAGAUUAUUGCACCUGAACAGUUUCACCAUUUGAGAUUUUAAGCAUCUCUCUCUUCCAUCUCUCCGAGAUUGCUUCUGCAGUUUUGUACUUUGAAAAAUUCAAUGUAGGGUCAUUGAGCAUCAGUUCCCAAUUCCCCUGCCCAUGCCUUCGUACACCAACCCAAAGAGCAUCAAGUUCAUCUUUGAACCACGCUUCUACCAUUAUUUGACCUUCGCACAAGCUGUCUGGCUGUGCCUUUGUUGUCAUCUUAUCAUUAUUACCCAAAUAUUCAUUUGUUGUACGGUAUUCUUUACUCCUGCUUUGCCCAAAAAAUGGUGUUUUGAUGUCAGGUCUCACGAGAAAGUGCUGAGAACUUGUACCAUUGUAUUCAAAGUUUGAAGAACAAACUUGCCCCAAGCUUGUGCCAGUUCCUCUAUCUGAUGUGACAAAUGGCUUGUAGAAUUUCCCAUCUUUUCCUGAAACCAUAUUUGUAACAGGUUCUUUGGGUUGGAGUGUGGGGAACUGAAGGGGUAGAACAGGUUCGGUUAGGCUUGGAACCAAAUCAAGUCGCUCACUCAUGUUUCUCAAAGCAAUCUGUUCUCUGUGUCUUGCAUGAAGCUUGGCACUGUUGGAAGUUAUAUCAGAAAAUGUGCAUCUUAACCCAAUAGCGUCAGCAAACAUCCUAUAAAUUCAGAAGUUGCAAGUUUUCUUUUAUAGCUUGGCUUUUAGGUGUAUAUUUGAGAUGGAAUGCUAUAAAGAAUGGAGUGCAUUUGGUGUUGGCAUCCCAGUGGUGUUGAACAAUGGCGAGAAUGUUGUGCAGUACCAUGUGCAUUAUCUACUCGCCAUUCAAAUUUACAUCAACCAAUCCUCUGCAACUCAGGAAUACAAGAGAGGAUUCUGAUCUGGCAGAAUGUGAGAGUGAGUCUUGGAGUGACAAUAGUGAGGGUGAUAAACUGUCAGGGUCUCUAAGCAACCACUGUUGCAAGAUUUGGGAUUCCACUUCUCUGGAUUCACGUUUUGACCAGGAUGGUUCCUGUCAGAAAGAUCGCCUUGGCUCUCUACCUUCAGUACCAUGAAACGUGUUCGCUGUACCGGAGGAUUCCACCGAUAGACAAAGUAAAUAUUAUGUCUUUUAUAUUAAUACAUUGUUUGUUUUAUUUUAUUUUAUUUUUAUUUUUAUUUUUAUUUUUAUUUUUAUUUUUUUUAUAACUUUUUUGUGUUUCCUACUGUUGACAUGUAAACUGGGAGUGAAUUAAUAAUCUUUAUUUAUAUAAGUGGGUGGGAUGGCUGAUGAUUUAUGUAACCGACCCCAAGUAGGAAAAUGGCUUGGUGAGUUGAGUUGUACAAACUCUUAUUAGCGAAUAAUUUCCUGUUUGGUUCGUUUGAUUUA